rnacentral:rRNA from 1 species
CUAAGGAAAUCGGAGCGGAGGGGUUGAGUAACGCGCCCCCUUAAAAGGGGUUCAUUGUUGGGGCAACAACCUGUGAAACGGGUUGCGUAAUACCAAUGUUGCCGAGAGGUGAAGCUUUAGUGCCUGAAAUGAGCUCGCGUCUGAUUAGCUAGUUGGAGGGGAAAGGCCCCCAAGGCGACGAUCAGUAGCUGGUCUGAGAGGAUGAUCAGCCACACUGGGACUGAGACACGGCCCAGACUCCUACGGGAGGCAGCAGUGAGGAAUUUUCCGCAAUGGGCGAAAGCCUGACGGAGCAAUACCGCGUGAGGGAGGAAGGCUCUUGGGUCGUAAACCUCUUUUGUCAUGGAAGAACACAAUGACGGUACCUGACGAAUCAACGUCGGCUAACUCCGUGCCAGCAGCCGCGGUAAUACGGGGGAUGCAAGCGUUAUCCGGAAUUAUUGGGCGUAAAGCGUCCGCAGGUGGUUGUCCAAGUCUGCUGUUAAAGCAUGGGGCUUAACUCCAUAUAGGCAGUGGAAACUGGACGACUAUAUUACGGUAGGGGUCGCGGGAAUUCCCAGUGUACGGUGAAAUGCGUCAGAUAUUGGGAAGAAACACCCAGUGGCAAAAGCGCGCGGCUGGACCUGUACUGACACUGAGGACGAAAGCUAGGGGAGCGAAAGGGAUUAAAUACCCCUGUAGUCCUNAGCUGUAAACGAUGGAUACUAUGUGUUGCCCGUUAUCGACCCGGGCAGUGCCGUAUCUAACGCGUUAAAGUAUCCCCCUUGGGGAGUACGCACGCAAGUGUGAAACUCAAAGGAAUUGGACGGGGGCCCGCACAAGCGGUGGAGUAUNUGGGUUUAAUUCGAUGCAACGCGAAGAAACCUUACCAGGGCUUGACAUGUCGCGAAUCUCGGUGAAAGCUGAGAGUGCCUUCGGGAGCGCAACACAGGUGGUGCAUGGCUGUCGUCAGCACGUGUCGUGAGAUGUUGGGUUAAGUCCCACAACGAGCGCAACCCUCGUUUUUAGUUGCCAUCAUUAAGUUGGGCACUCUAGAGAGACUGCCGGUGACAAACCGGAGGAAGGUGGGGAUGACGUCAAGUCAUCAUGCCCCUUAUCGUCCUGGGCUACACCGUACUACAAUGCUAGGGACAAAGGGUCGCAAGCUCGCGAGAGCAAGCUAAUCCCAUAAACCCUGGCUCAGUUCAGAUUGCAGGCUGCAACUCGCCUGCAUGAAGGCGGAAUCGCUAGUAAUCGCAGGUCAGCAUACUCGGUGAAUACGUUCCCGGGCCUUGUACACACCGCCCCCCUUUAAGGGGGAAGUUGGUCACCCCCGAAGUCAUUACUAAACCGUUCG